CCUACGGGGUGCUGCAGUGGGGAAUAUUGGACAAUGGGCGAAAGCCUGAUCCAGCCAUGCCGCGUGUGUGAAGAAGGCCUUCGGGUUGUAAAGCACUUUCAGUGGGGAAGAAAGCCUCGGGGCUAAUACCCUCGAGGAAGGACAUCACCCACAGAAGAAGCACCGGCUAACUCCGUGCCAGCAGCCGCGGUAAUACGGAGGGUGCGAGCGUUAAUCGGAAUUACUGGGCGUAAAGCGCGCGUAGGCGGUCUGAUAAGCCGGUUGUGAAAGCCCCGGGCUCAACCUGGGAACGGCAUCCGGAACUGUCAGGCUAGAGUGCAGGAGAGGAAGGUAGAAUUCCCGGUGUAGCGGUGAAAUGCGUAGAGAUCGGGAGGAAUACCAGUGGCGAAGGCGGCCUUCUGGACUGACACUGACGCUGAGGUGCGAAAGCGUGGGUAGCAAACAGGAUUAGAUACCCUAGUAGUC
rnacentral:rRNA from 1 species